rnacentral:rRNA from 1 species
GACGAACGCUGGCGGCGUGCUUAACACAUGCAAGUCGAACGGAAAGGCCCUGCUUUUGUGGGGUGCUCGAGUGGCGAACGGGUGAGUAACACGUGAGUAACCUGACCUUGACUUUGGGAUAACUUCAGGAAACUGGGGCUAAUACCGGAUAGGAGCUCCUGCUGCAUGGUGGGGGUUGGAAAGUUUCGGCGGUUGGGGAUGGACUCGCGGCGUAUCAGCUUGUUGGUGGGGUAGUGGCUUACCAAGGCUUUGACGGGUAGCCGGCCUGAGAGGGUGACCGGCCACAUUGGGACUGAGAUACGGCCCAGACUCCUACGGGAGGCAGCAGUGGGGAAUAUUGCACAAUGGGCGGAAGCCUGAUGCAGCAACGCCGCGUGCGGGAUGACGGCCUUCGGGUUGUAAACCGCUUUCGCCUGUGACGAAGCGUGAGUGACGGUAAUGGGUAAAGAAGCACCGGCUAACUACGUG